GCUGCUGUAGCUCAGUGGUAGAGCGCACCCUUGGUAAGGGUGAGGUCGAGAGUUCAAUCCUCUCCAGCAGCACCA
rnacentral:tRNA from 27 species